AGCCAGACAAGAAAGGGCAGAUGCGUCUCCCCCUCGACAAGUUGCUGCAGCACCCACACUUGUUGGAAGCUCAGUGUCCUCCACGGGAGAAGCGUUGCCAGCCCUUUCCUCCUCUGAUUCUCACACGGGGAACCCUGCACUGGGAAAUGGCAUCAUCUGCACAGACACACCAUGGCCAGCCAAGCAACAUCAGUGCCGUGUACCCAGGGGAGAAGAAGUCCUUGAUUCAGCAGACAUGACCAGGCCUGGCCAGAAAAUGGAUGUUGUUUCUGAACGGCAGAGAGGGGACAAGGACAAACAGCUGAGCUGUUGGGUAGCAGUAUUGGGUCAGGCACCGCUCAAAGUGCAGCCCACACUGGCAGAGCGUGCAGUCUGCUUGGGUUUUCUACAAAAAUGCCUUUUGACAGAGGUGUCCCUGCUCUGAGGGGCCCAAGUGGGGCUCACCGAGGGUAUUUGCCAUGCUUUAGACCCCAGGGCAGUGUCACCCCAUCCCAGCCGAGCAAGCAGAAGCUGGGGAGCUUCCCUGUUGCCAAGCCGGAUCGCUAGUGAGGAAAACAUGUCCAACCUGCUGGGUAUUCCCUCGCGCCUCCUUUCCAAGCAUUAAAAGUGCUAAUUA